UACGUAGGGUGCGAGCGUUAAUCGGAAUUACUGGGCGUAAAGCGUGCGUAGGCGGUUCCUCAAGUCCGUUGUGAAAGCCCCGGGCUCAACCUGGGAAUGGCAGUGGAAACUAGGGGACUGGAAUCUGGCAGAGGGGGGUAGAAUGCCGCGUGUAGCAGUGAAAUGCGUAGAGAUGCGGCGGAACACCGAUGGCGAAGGCAGCCCCCUGGGCUGAGAUUGACGCUCAGGCACGAAAGCGUGGGGAGCAAACAGG
rnacentral:rRNA from 1 species